GCGGGGAUGGUGGAAUUGGCAGACACGCAAGGUUGAGGACCUUGUGGGGCAACCCUUGGGGGUUCAAAUCCCCCUUCCCGCACCA
rnacentral:tRNA from 2 species